UACCUAUUCAGAACGUCUCUGGAAAUGUGG
rnacentral:piRNA from 1 species